ensembl:rRNA 5S_rRNA 5S ribosomal RNA
AUCAAUGGCCAUGCCACCCUGAACAAGCCCGAUCCCAUCUGAUCUCGGAAGCUAAGCAGAGUCAGGCCUUGUUAGUACCUGGAUGGGAGAUCAUCUAGAAAGAACAGGUGCUGUAGAUG